UCUCCGUAGGUGAACCUGCGGAGGGAUCAUUACUGAGUGGAGGGCCUCCGGGUCCGACCUCCAACCCUUCAUCCACACCAUGUUGCCUCGGGGGUGACCCGGCCUUCGGGCGUCGGGGCCCCCGGUGGACCUGUCAACCCUGCAUCUUUGCGUCUGAGUAACGAUGAAUCAAUCAAAAACUUUCAACAACGGAUCUCUUGGUUCUGGCAUCGAUGAAGAACGCAGC
rnacentral:misc_RNA from 1 species